UACGGAGGGUGCGAGCGUUGUUCGGAAUUACUGGGCGUAAAGAGUGUGUAGGCGGUGCUCUAAGUUCGGUGUGAAAUCUCCCGGCUUAACUGGGAGGGUGCGCCGGAAACUGGAGUGCUCGAACGUGGGAGAGGAAAGCGGAAUUCCUGGUGUAGCGGUGAAAUGCGUAGAUAUCAGGAGGAACACCUGCGGUGUAGACGGCUUUCUGGACCAUUGUUGACGCUGAGACACGAAAGCGUGGGUAGCAAACAGG
rnacentral:rRNA from 1 species